rnacentral:lncRNA from 1 species
GUCGCAUUAAUUGACUUUUUUGGGCUCCAAAAGGCAAUUGGUCUCUAUUUUCCUCUAGAUUCUCAAUACGGUAAGCACACAUGACAAAACCAUCUCUCAAAAUUGAUAAUCUACCGAUUUCAUGGGAGAAUUCUUUUCGCCAUGGAUGCUCUGUUUCGUGAUUUUUUAUGCUGUCUGUAAUUUGAUCUAUAGCUGAAGCCAGCUCGUUGAUGGAUCAAAUGAUGGUUGAUAAACCAAUCUAAUCUCAAACUUCCAUCUAUUUGUUUGGAUUGAUACCAGAUUGUAAGUGUUGAGAUGCUCAGAAACAGAGUAUUUGUAGCUUGAUCUUUACAUAGUUUUCAUAUAAAGAGAUCGAUGUUUUAGAGAUAAUAUGAAUUCAAAAACUCAUACUUCAUUUCAUAAUGAUCAUCGUCUCUUAAAUUGUUUUCUCAUCGAUUUAUACAAAGAAAACACAACAAUUAUUCUCUAACAUUCACCUAACUUCAAAUAUUUCCACUAACCUUACUUAGACUCUAAACAACAUAGCUUAACAACACUUUCUGCUUUUACUGUUCUAACAAUUUCUUUGGAUUCCAACUGGUUCGGUUUAAAACUAAAAGGGCAUUACUCAACACUCUCACUUGCCAUUUUAUCAAUCAAACCGAGCUUGGUACGAAAUCUUUUAAAACUCUGGCCUCCCAAUGCUUUAGUGAAUAUAUCUGCCAGUUGUUCUUCACCCUUGCAGUAAUGCAGUUGAAUCUCCCCAUUUUUUUCAUAAUCUCUGACUACAUGAUAUUUGAUUUAGAUGUGCUUAGUCCUUCUAUGCUAAACAGGUUCUUUCCGAUUGCUAUUGCUGACUGGCUAUCGCAGUAAAUGGAUACCACCACUGGAGUGUGAACCCUUAGGUCUUCAAGUAGUCGUCUCAACCAAGUUGCUUGGUUUGAUGCUGCACACAGAGCCAUAUACUCUGCUUAUGCGGUUGAUU